GACCCAUAGGGACCCAUAGGGACACAUAGGGACACAUAGGGACACAUAGAGAGGCAUUGGGACACAUAGAGAGCCAUAGGGACACAUAGGGACCCAGAGGGACCCACAGAGAGGCAUUGGGACCCAUAGGGACACAUUGGGACCCAUAGGGACACAUAGGGACACAUAGGGACACAUAGAGAGCCAUAGAGAGCCAUAGAGAUCGGAUAGAGAGCCAUAGGGACACAUAGGGACCCAUAGGGACCCACAGAGAGGCAUUGGGACCCAUAGGGACACAUUGGGACCCAUAGGGACACAUAGGGACACAUAGGGACACAUAGGGACACAUAGGGACACAUAGCGACGCCUAUGGGGCACACAGCGCUGACGGGACCCAUAGCGACCCAUAGGGACCCACAGAGAGGCAUUGGGACCCAUAGGGACACAUUGGGACCCAUAGGGACACAUAGGGACACAUAGGG
ensembl:lncRNA